UCGAUACUUCUCCCUCUUCUCCAUUUCUGACUCCGUCCGUUCUCUUACCACCGUCGGAGACACAAAUGAUAGAGCAGUGGGUUUUGCUUCUGGGUUUUCCGUCGAUCUCGCAGGCUUUUUGGUUUGUGGGUUUUCACCGUCAACAACCACUGACCGACGAUGCAAAACCCAGGUUUAGUUGCCUUUCUGAAUGCAUAAUGUGAAAAUACCUGCAGCUUCUAGUGAAGGUCUCCUCAAAAAGGCUCUCUCUUCAGAAUGCAGAUCAUAUGGGUAUUUGCAAAUAAGUAGGAUUGGAAACUUCUGAUCUAAUUCUGCCAUGGCUUUGAAGAAUUCACAUGGUUAAAUUGUGCUUCCAAUGGUGUAAUUUUUUUUGUCGAAAUGAACCAACUUGAAGAGUUCAUCAUUGUAAUCUCCAAUAUCUCUUCAGAUUUGCUCUGCUCGUUGACUGAGAAGCUCGAGUAUCAUGUACCAUAUACCAUCUAUAUAUGAUGUAUAUUCAUGAAUAUGUUCCCUGUCUUGUUCAUGGUAUUGCCUACAUGAGUUAUUGGAUCUAUUUAUCCAAAUAGUAAAGAUGAAUUGUCAAUUCAAUGCCAGUUUAUUUUGAUAGUUGUAAUGGUUCUAUGUUCCAUAAAAACAGUGUGACAACAAUCUGGGUGUAUUUUAGAAUUUUCGGUAUUUC